rnacentral:rRNA from 1 species
CUUGCAAACCAAAGCUGGCGACCGGCGCACGGGUGAGUAACACGUAUCCAACCUGCCUCAUACUCGGGGAUAGCCUUUCGAAAGAAAGAUUAAUAUCCGAUAGCAUAUAUUUCCCGCAUGGGUUUUAUAUUAAAGAAAUUCGGUAUGAGAUGGGGAUGCGUUCCAUUAGUUUGUUGGGGGGUAACGGCCCACCAAGACUACGAUGGAUAGGGGUUCUGAGAGGAGGGUCCCCCACAUUGGAACUGAGACACGGUCCAAACUCCUACGGGAGGCAGCAUG